CCUACGGGAGGCAGCAGUGGGGAAUUUUGGACAAUGGGGGAAACCCUGAUCCAGCAAUGCCGCGUGUGCGAAGAAGGCCUUCGGGUUGUAAAGCACUUUUAUUCGGAGAGAAAUCCCUUGGGCUAAUACCCUGAGGGUCUGACGGUACCGGAUGAAUAAGCGCCGGCUAACUACGUGCCAGCAGCCGCGGUAAUACGUAGGGCGCGAGCGUUAAUCGGAAUUACUGGGCGUAAAGCGUGCGCAGGCGGUUUUGUAAGACAGAUGUGAAAGCCCCGGGCUCAACCUGGGAAUUGCAUUUGUGACUGCAAGGCUAGAGUGUGUCAGAGGGAGGUGGAAUUCCGCGUGUAGCAGUGAAAUGCGUAGAGAUGCGGAGGAACACCGAUGGCGAAGGCAGCCUCCUGGGAUAACACUGACGCUCAUGCACGAAAGCGUGGGGAGCAAACAGGAUUAGAUACCCUGGUAGUCCACGCCCUAAACGAUGUCAACUAGUUGUCGGGAAUUAAAUUUCUUGGUAACGCAGCUAACGCGUGAAGUUGACCGCCUGGGGAGUACGGCCGCAAGGUUAAACNCGAAAGGAUUGACGG
rnacentral:rRNA from 1 species